rnacentral:rRNA from 1 species
AGUCAAUGCUCUAAAGAGUGACCUUGUUACUUAUAAAGAUUAUACUUAUUAAUAUAAAUUAUUAAUAUAUUUUUUAAUAUAUAAAAUUUAUAUAAUAUUUAUAUAUAAUAAUAUUAUUUAUUAAUAUAUAUAUAUAAAUAUAAAUAGAAAAGAUAAGGAAAUGUGAAUUAAAAAAUCUUAGUAACAUAAAUAAAUAAUGAUUAAUUAUGUGAAGAAGUCUUAACAAAAAGUGGUGCCAGCAGUUGCGGCUAAACCGUGGAGGCAAACGUUAAUAAUUUAGGCUUAAAGGAUCCGUAGAACGUUAUUUAAAUAAAAAUAAUAGAGUUAUAUAAAAAGAUCUAAGAAUAAUAUAAACUGAGCGAUGAAAUGUUUUGAUCUAUAUUAGACUACCAAAAGGUGAAGACUUAAAUCUUAAUAAUAACUGACGUUGAGGGAUGAAGGCAUAAGGAGUAAAAUAGAUUAGAUACCUAAUGUAAUUUAUGCAGUCAACGAUGAUUACUAGAAAAAAACAAAAGCGAAAGCAAAGUAAUUCGCCAGGUGAGUAUAUUUGCAAAAAUGAAAUCUAAAACAAUAGACGGUUAUAAAUUUAGGCAGUGGAUGAUGUUAU